rnacentral:rRNA from 1 species
CCCUUAGACACUCUAGGCGGCACGCGCGCUACAAUGGGUGGAAGAACGUGUUACUGCCUCCGAAAGGAGGGGUGAAUCACGAAUUCUUGCCCGUGAAUGGGAUAGUUUGUUGCAAUUUUCGGACUUGAACUAGGAACCCCUUGUAAACAUGCUCAAGAAUAGCGUGUUGAAUACGUCCCUGCCGUUUGUACACACCGCCCGUCGUUUCUUCCGACUGAUACUCAUUGUGAGUUGCAAGGACCCUUUAUUGGGAAAUUGCUGCAAAUGCUUUGUAUUGGAGGAAGAAAAAGUCGUAACA